GGAUUAGUAGUCAAGUGGUUAAGACAUAGCUCUUCAAUGCUACAUACGCGGGUUCAAACCCCGCCUAGUCUA
rnacentral:tRNA from 2 species